rfam:Dipodomys ordii contig_69454, whole genome shotgun sequence.
GGUGGCUCAGUGGUAGAGUGCUUGCCUUGCAUGCAUGAGGUCCUGGGUUCGAUUCCUCAGUACCA